GCGCCCAGCCCUCGCGGGACAGCAGGUCAGAGUGCUC
rnacentral:sRNA from 1 species